AAUGACAUAAAAGCAAGGUCCGAACUCUUCUUUCAAAGUAGGAAACCCAACACAGCAGUAGACAGGACUAGUAACCCAAUGAAAGUCACACCAACAGAAUAGGUUGCUUGGGAUCCAAGGUAUUUGUGGGCCAUCCUAACUCUACCACAGCUACAACACUGCCAUUUCUACGAAGUAGAGACCGUUAUUUUAAGAUCCUGAGUGUUGGUCUGGCCGGGACCCGAACCACGACCUCCCGCACG